rnacentral:rRNA from 1 species
CAGUCGCCACGGUAAUACGAAGGGGGCUAGCGUUGUUCGGAAUUACUGGGCGUAAAGCGCACGUAGGCGGAUAUUUAAGUCAGGGGUGAAAUCCCAGAGCUCAACUCUGGAACUGCCUUUGAUACUGGAAGUCUUGAGUCCGGGAGAGGUGAGUGGAACUGCGAGUGUAGAGGUGAAAUUCGUAGAUAUUCGCAAGAACACCAGUGGCGAAGGCGGCUCACUGGCCCGGUACUGACGCUGAGGCGCGAAAGCGUGGGGAGCAAACAGGAUUAGAUACCCGCGUAGUCCCUGUCUCUUAUAU